ACGGUGGAUGCCUUGGCACUAGAAGCCGAUGAAGGACGUUACUAACGACGAUAUGCUUUGGGGAGCUGUAAGUAAGCUUUGAUCCAGAGAUUUCCGAAUGGGGAAACCCAGCAUGAGUUAUGUCAUGUUAUCGAUAUGUGAAUACAUAGCAUAUCAGAAGGCACACCCGGAGAACUGAAACAUCUUAGUACCCGGAGGAAGAGAAAGAAAAUUCGAUUCCCUUAGUAGCGGCGAGCGAAACGGGAAGAGCCCAAACCAACAAGCUUGCUUGUUGGGGUUGUAGGACACUCUAUACGGAGUUACAAAGGACGACAUUAGACGAAUCAUCUGGAAAGAUGAAUCAAAGAAGGUAAUAAUCCUGUAGUCGAAAAUGUUGUCUCUCUUGAGUGGAUCCUGAGUACGACGGAGCACGUGAAAUUCCGUCGGAAUCUGGGAGGACCAUCUCCUAAGGCUAAAUACUCUCUAGUGACCGAUAGUGAACCAGUACCGUGAGGGAAAGGUGAAAAGCACCCCGGAAGGGGAGUGAAAUAGAACCUGAAACCGUGUGCUUACAAGUAGUCAGAGCCCGUUAAUGGGUGAUGGCGUGCCUUUUGUAGAAUGAACCGGCGAGUUACGAUUUGAUGCAAGGUUAAGCAGUAAAUGUGGAGCCGUAGCGAAAGCGAGUCUGAAUAGGGCGUUUAGUAUUUGGUCGUAGACCCGAAACCAGGUGAUCUACCCUUGGUCAGGUUGAAGUUCAGGUAACACUGAAUGGAGGACCGAACCGACUUACGUUGAAAAGUGAGCGGAUGAACUGAGGGUAGCGGAGAAAUUCCAAUCGAACCUGGAGAUAGCUGGUUCUCUCCGAAAUAGCUUUAGGGCUAGCCUCAAGUGAUGAUUAUUGGAGGUAGAGCACUGUUUGGACGAGGGGCCCCUCUCGGGUUACCGAAUUCAGACAAACUCCGAAUGCCAAUUAAUUUAACUUGGGAGUCAGAACAUGGGUGAUAAGGUCCGUGUUCGAAAGGGAAACAGCCCAGACCACCAGCUAAGGUCCCAAAAUAUAUGUUAAGUGGAAAAGGAUGUGGCGUUGCCCAGACAACUAGGAUGUUGGCUUAGAAGCAGCCAUCAUUUAAAGAGUGCGUAAUAGCUCACUAGUCGAGUGACACUGCGCCGAAAAUGUACCGGGGCUAAACAUAUUACCGAAGCUGUGGAUUGUCCUUUGGACAAUGGUAGGAGAGCGUUCUAAGGGCGUUGAAGCAUGAUCGUAAGGACAUGUGGAGCGCUUAGAAGUGAGAAUGCCGGUGUGAGUAGCGAAAGACGGGUGAGAAUCCCGUCCACCGAUUGACUAAGGUUUCCAGAGGAAGGCUCGUCCGCUCUGGGUUAGUCGGGUCCUAAGCUGAGGCCGACAGGCGUAGGCGAUGGAUAACAGGUUGAUAUUCCUGUACCACCUAUAAUCGUUUUAAUCGAUGGGGGGACGCAGUAGGAUAGGCGAAGCGUGCGAUUGGAUUGCACGUCUAAGCAGUAAGGCUGAGUAUUAGGCAAAUCCGGUACUCGUUAAGGCUGAGCUGUGAUGGGGAGAAGACAUUGUGUCUUCGAGUCGUUGAUUUCACACUGCCGAGAAAAGCCUCUAGAUAGAAAAUAGGUGCCCGUACCGCAAACCGACACAGGUAGUCAAGAUGAGAAUUCUAAGGUGAGCGAGCGAACUCUCGUUAAGGAACUCGGCAAAAUGACCCCGUAACUUCGGGAGAAGGGGUGCUCUUUAGGGUUAACGCCCAGAAGAGCCGCAGUGAAUAGGCCCAAGCGACUGUUUAUCAAAAACACAGGUCUCUGCUAAACCGUAAGGUGAUGUAUAGGGGCUGACGCCUGCCCGGUGCUGGAAGGUUAAGAGGAGUGGUUAGCUUCUGCGAAGCUACGAAUCGAAGCCCCAGUAAACGGCGGCCGUAACUAUAACGGUCCUAAGGUAGCGAAAUUCCUUGUCGGGUAAGUUCCGACCCGCACGAAAGGCGUAACGAUUUGGGCACUGUCUCAACGAGAGACUCGGUGAAAUCAUAGUACCUGUGAAGAUGCAGGUUACCCGCGACAGGACGGAAAGACCCCGUGGAGCUUUACUGUAGCCUGAUAUUGAAAUUCGGCACAGCUUGUACAGGAUAGGUAGGAGCCUUUGAAACGUGAGCGCUAGCUUACGUGGAGGCGCUGGUGGGAUACUACCCUAGCUGUGUUGGCUUUCUAACCCGCACCACUUAUCGUGGUGGGAGACAGUGUCAGGCGGGCAGUUUGACUGGGGCGGUCGCCUCCUAAAAGGUAACGGAGGCGCUCAAAGGUUCCCUCAGAAUGGUUGGAAAUCAUUCAUAGAGUGUAAAGGCAUAAGGGAGCUUGACUGCGAGACCUACAAGUCGAGCAGGGUCGAAAGACGGACUUAGUGAUCCGGUGGUUCCGCAUGGAAGGGCCAUCGCUCAACGGAUAAAAGCUACCCCGGGGAUAACAGGCUUAUCUCCCCCAAGAGUUCACAUCGACGGGGAGGUUUGGCACCUCGAUGUCGGCUCAUCGCAUCCUGGGGCUGUAGUCGGUCCCAAGGGUUGGGCUGUUCGCCCAUUAAAGCGGUACGCGAGCUGGGUUCAGAACGUCGUGAGACAGUUCGGUCCCUAUCCGUCGUGGGCGUAGGAAAUUUGAGAGGAGCUGUCCUUAGUACGAGAGGACCGGGAUGGACAUACCUCUGGUGUACCAGUUGUCGUGCCAACGGCAUAGCUGGGUAGCUAUGUGUGGACGGGAUAAGUGCUGAAAGCAUCUAAGCAUGAAGCCCCCCUCAAGAUGAGAUUUCCCAACUUCGGUUAUAAGAUCCCUCAAAGAUGAUGAGGUUAAUAGGUUCGAGGUGGAAGCAUGGUGACAUGUGGAGCUGACGAAUACUAAUCGAUCGAAGACUUAAUCAA
rnacentral:rRNA from 1 species